GUUCGCGAUCGCAUCAUUAUCAUUAUAAACAUCUUAAAAUCAGUUUGUAUGGUUAGAAAUAUACAGUUUGUUCCCUAUUACAUCUGCUGUGAAGUGUGAUGUGACAUUUUUCUAAAAAUACAGCAUUAAAUACAUUGCAUUAAAUAACUCACGCUGAGAGGAUCAGUCAGUUCUGAAGGUACUCACGUGCGAAAGCGUUUGGUUUCACACAUGCUAAGAUAUGUAAUCAUUUGUGUGACUGUGUGUACCGUACCGAAGGCCCUGUAUCCGUUUGGUUCGGUACGGAUACUGUACAUGUACCGUUGGAGCCCUAGAGCACAGGCACUUCUCAUAGGCUAAUAGUCCCAGCUUUUCGCGUCCUUUCGAAGGACAUUUUUUGAGGCAUCUUUGAAACCUCCCCAACAUAUCUUCUGUUAAAAAGGAUCAUCUUGCUCAGCUUUAGUUGUGUGAGAAAUGAUUAUUUGUGUUCUGAUGCUUCUUUACUCAGUUCCAUGUUGGCAGAUUCUGCACUUUUCUGUAGAUGAUUGUUUAGCUUUAGGAUAUCUUGAGUAAGAGGUAAUUUGGUUGGUUUGUUGUAUUUUGCAUCACUGAUGGUGCAUAAUGCUAUAUGAGAUAUGUAUUCUGACCACUUUGCUUUAUACAGCUUCUGAACAGUGAUGAAAAACUGACUAAAUUUCCAUACUUAGGUAAAAGUACAGAUAUCACACCAAUAUAUUACUUAAGUAAAAGUCAUCCAUUAGAAUACUACACUAUGCAAUAUUUGUGUUAAAAAUGAACAAAAUUAGAUUUUUGAACAAGUACAUAAAGAAACAGUUCAAAACUAUGUACCCUUGAUUCACUACAUUAAGCCUACAAUAGGUAUUGCUAUUUUGAGCUGUCGGGUUCGAUUUGGCGUGGAAUAUCAUGCUGACAUCAUUCGUCCUUGCGUAGUAAUGUCAUAUCCAGAAAAACAAAGAGGUAGUUCCGACAGUUGUGUCUGGAAACUUGUGCACUGUAAAUGCUGACUGCCUGACCUGGGAGAUGCGUUCUCUGUUCAGUCACUCACAGUUCAACAUGGUGGGAGAGGCCAGUAGUCUCGAUACAACAGUGAUUUUUUAACACUCAUGAGUAUGUUAAUUGCCAUUCAGGGUGAAGAAUUGUCACUGCAUCUUUAGUGUUUCAACCCUUCAUAUCCAUCUCUAUGUUAACUCUACUGAUCUUCACCAGUAUUCUGAUCUCCAUCACUAUUCUCACUAUCUCCCUGCAUUUCAACACUAUUCAGCUCUUCCUCAUCAUCUUCCUCACUGCACUCACUCUCAUUACUUGAAGAACCUGAUGGUAUGGCUCUCUAAAAAUAGAAAGCAGAACCAUUUUCCAUGUGAUUUUGUUUUUUUCUGUAUUUGCAUUGUGGUUUCUGUGUGUAAUCAUGUUUUGUUCAUGUGACUAUCUUUUAUGCAUUUAUCCCUGCUAACACACAACGUACCAGAUAUGUCAUUUAUUAUUUGGUAAUUUCAUGAUUUACUGACAAUGUAACUGCAACGUCAUGGGCCCAUAAUUUUACUACCAUUAAGUUUCAUUACCAUUAUAUGACUAAUUGACAACGUCGUCUUUACAUCCUCCAAAUGUCCGAAGCUUACCCAGAAUGAUCCAGUUAUGUAAUAUUUUCAUAAUAUUUGGUAAUUCUGUGACUUAUUGGCAACGUAACUGCAACGUCAUAGGUCUGUAAUUAAUUACCACUUCACCUUCCAUUUCCACUUUUUUUACGUUCUCCUAUGUGAUCCAAUAAAACAAAACAACAUAGUCUGAGUCCAGUUGCAACACAGGAAAAACAUACUGUAAUAUAGUAACAGCACGCACCUCCACCUGAACGCUUGCGUGCGCAUCAUCUGAAAUAAUCAUCAUCAAGCGUUUGUUUUUCUAAGGUGGGUCAACACUCCAAGCGUCUCCUUGAUGGCCUGCUUGACAGACGCUCACUGGAGCUGAGAAUGGUGGCUGUUCACUCCAAGCAUGUCCUUGCUCUUCUGCCUGAAUUAAGCCUACUGGGGCAACUGGAGCUGAUAAAGAUGUCUGUGAUCUCACACUGGAUUCAAACACAGCACACACUGGUCUCAUUCUGUCUGAGGGGAACAGGAAGGUGACACAUGUGAGAGAGCAUCAGUCAUAUCCUGAUCAUCCAGAGAGAUUUGACUGGUAUCAUCAGGUUCUGUGUAGAGAGAGUCUGACUGGACGCUGUUACUGGGAGACUCAAUGGAGUGAGACAGGUGCUGUUAUGUCAGUGUCAUAUAAAGGAAUCAGCAGGAAAGGAAAGAUUCAAUGUAAACUCCUUGAAUCUGAGGUGCUCUGAUGACACAUUCACUGUCCUUCACAAUAAUAACAGCACUGACAUACGUCGCCCUUCACACCACUGUAAGAGAGUAGGAGUAGUGGCACUCUGUCCCUCUGACACACACACACUCACACACUUACACACACUCAUCACCACAUUCACUCAACCCCUCUAUGCUGGAUUUAGAGUUUAUCCUGAUUCCUCAGUGUGUCUGUGUGAAAUUGAACAUCAGAAACACACACAACUGGAUGAGUGAAAUAUACUCACUGUAUCUCACAUCAACACAACUCCAAACUCUUUCUAGAAAUCAUUUCAGGGUUUCUGCAGGUCUUAACUCUUAAGUCGCUCUUCCACAAAUUAAGACAUUAAAAGCUGGUAGGCUCACUGAUUUAUUUCAAACUACAUUUAAUAUCCUCAUUUUCCUUCUCGAUAUUGUCUUUGGUAUCAUCUGAAGAGAUUGAUUUGAUGAUAUUUUCAUUCUAGUCUUUCAUUAAAUCAGCUGAAAUUUAUCUGGUUACCAUGGAAAUGACGUCAUGCGCUCUCUGUCAUCCUGUCAGUCAGCACAAGUAGAAAUGCACCAAUAAAAAUGAGUUUUCAACAUCGAGCUGAAAGUAGCCGAUCCAUUACUUCGUGCAACACGUCCAGAUAGCACACAUACAUCGUGGAGACGUCUGUGAAAGAGCGGAUCAUCUGGAAAUGAUCACAUUCUGUUUUUAUGGUCUUAUUUUGAUUGUCUGUAGAUCUCGUUUAAUGGCUGUUUUUAGUUGUUAAAUGAGCCAUCUGUUCUACCUCUAAACGACGUCUAUUCGAUGAAGUUGACAUCAGUCUUGAAAUCCAGUUUUGUGGCUGCCACACAAGCAGCACACAGACCAGCAAUCGAUUGUGACCUCCGUGCUAAACUUCAGCAACUGUAUACGAGUUAUCAAUUUAUUUUAAACGAAAAUGUAUAAAAACAUAUAUCAGCUGCGUAAAAACAUAUAUCAACUGCAUACAUGAUUAAAAAAGCAUGGAUCAUCUGUUCACAGUUCAUUGGCUGUGCAUUUUUGCCACAUGCUUGUUUUUAUUAUUAUUAUUAUUAUUAUUAUUAUUACCAAUCUGGAAAGCAUUGAAUAAAAACCAUCAUAUUCUGGUGA